rnacentral:rRNA from 1 species
GUGCACCAGUCGCGAAACCUCCGCAAUGCGGGAAACCGCGACGGGGGGACCCCGAGUGCCGUGGCAACGCCACGGCUUUUCCGGAGUGUAAAAAGCUCCGGGAAUAAAGGGCUGGGCAAGGCCGGUGGCAGCCGCCGCGGUAAUACCGGCGGCCCGAGUGGUGGCCGCUAUUAUUGGGCCUAAAGCGUCCGUAGCCGGGCCCGUAAGUCCCUGGCGAAAUCCCACGGCUCAACCGUGGGGCUUGCUGGGGAUACUGCGGGUCUUGGGACCGGGAGAGGCGGGGGGUACCCCUGGGGUAGGGGUGAAAUCCGUAUAAUCCCCAGGGGGACCGCCAGUGGCGAAGGCGCCCCGCUGGAACGGGUCCGACAGUGAGGGACGAAGGCCAGGGGAGCAAACC